ACGGGGGCCCGCACAAGCGGCGGAGCAUGCGGAUUAAUUCGAUGCAACGCGAAGAACCUUACCAAGGCUUGACAUCCGCCGGACCGCCCCAGAGAUGGGGUUUCCCUUCGGGGCCGGUGGACAGGUGGUGCAUGGUUGUCGUCAGCUCGUGUCGUGAGAUGUUGGGUUAAGUCCCGCAACGAGCGCAACCCUCGUUCUAUGUUGCCAGCACGUGAUGGUGGGGACUCAUAGGAGACUGCCGGGGUCAACUCGGAGGAAGGUGGGGAUGACGUCAAAUCAUCAUGCCCCUUAUGUCUUGGGCUUCACGCAUGCUACAAUGGCCGGUACAAAGGGUUGCGAUACUGUGAGGUGGAGCUAAUCCCAAAAAGCCGGUCUCAGUUCGGAUUGAGGUCUGCAACUCGACCUCAUGAAGUCGGAGUCGCUAGUAAUCGCAGAUCAGCAACGCUGCGGUGAAUACGUUCCCGGGCCUUGUACACACCGCCCGUCAAGUCACGAAAGUUGGUAACACCCGAAGCCGGUGGCCUAACCCCUUGUGGGAGGGAGCCGUCGA
rnacentral:rRNA from 1 species